ACUUGGGUACAAGAGUAUGGUCCUUGACUUACUUGACUGAAUACUAAUAACAAAACAGGAAAUUACAGAACAAGCUUUGACUAGCAUAAGACUCUUGAAUGUUCGUGAUUGUUGUUUUUAUUCAAAAUAUCCAAUAAAAACUGCUGCACAUAAAGAAACUUUUCCAUUGACCUUCUUGGCAGACACUGUUUAUCAUAAUCUAUGUGUCUAUCAAGAUGUAAAGAACAAUAAGUUGGAACCAGAAAAAUAUCAGAUCAGAGUUUAAGAAGUUAAUUCUAUAUUUUUCUGGUAAUAAGACAACAAUUUUGCUAAGGAUCAUGGGAAAUUAAUCCCAUCAUCCUUUGCUGCAAAUUUCAAAUUCUAGACAGUUGCAGCUUGCAUGCAAACUGCCUCUCCUGGUUUAUUUGUCUGAUGUGCACUAGAUCUUACAAAUACAGGGCACAGAUAUGGUAGAUUUCUGUAGGACACUUUCCUGUAUCACCUGGGACCCUGUUUACAAUGUGGCCUUGCAUUUCUAAGCUCCAAAGUGCAACCAAAGCCGAAGUCAAGCUUGGAACAUUUAUCUAUUCAGGCAUGGAAACCAGUUGGACCAAAGAGGAUGCCCCCAUCUCAACUUUGGAAAAACUUUCAACAAGAACAAGUGACAUGUAUUAUGAUUAUGAUACCAUCACCAACAACAUUACAGCAGUAAUGGUGCUGUUUUAGAAGGACAAUAAUUAAGUUAUUAGUACAAAUGUAUAUGCUCAGUAUCAGGAAAAUGGAUUUUUAUAAGCAAGCAUCAUAUAUAAUCUAAAUCUGUUGGUAUCUGCAAUAAUGUUGCAAUCUUUAAAAUAAUGGUUCAUGGGGGAAAAAAUGCCCCAAAAUCUGGUAUGAAACUUAUUGAUGGACAUGAGUAUUGGAAAUAUUGGAAAUAUAUUAACAACUAUAUAAACAGCAACAUUGACCAGUUCGUGAUACAAGAACCUCAAUCUUACUUUAAGAAAUGGUUUCUAUGUUUGUAGGUGUAAGAAAUUCAGUCUUGAACUUAAAGAUAGCAAGAUGUUGCUAAUACAAAAACUUCAAUAUUAGCACAGCAAAGUAGUACCCUAGUUCACUUAAGGUGUACAAAAUUUGGUCUUGGUGUAAGAGUAUAUUAAUCUCAGAUGUAAGAGAAUAUCUUUAGGCAAUAAGAAGUGUGCUUUUGAUUUAAGAAAGUUACUCUUGUUGUAAGAACAAUUAAGAAAAUAUUUCUAGCAAUAAGAAGUGUGCUCUUGAUGUAAGAAAGAUAUUCUUGAUAUAAGAAAUUUAAUCUUGGUAUAAGAACACCAAUCUUGAAAGUAAGAAAAUAUUUCUGGGAAUAAGAAUUGUUGUCUUGAUGUAAGAAAGUUACUCUUGCCGUAAGAAAGUUAGCCUUGUUAUAAGAACACCAAUCUUGAAAGUAAGAAUAUAUUACUAGCCAAUAAGAAUUGUUGUCUUGAUGUAAGAAAGUUAUUCUUAAUAUAAAAAAAUUAAUCUUGGUAUAAGAACACCAAUCUUGAAAAUAAGAAAAUAUUUCUAGGGAAUAAGAAUUGUUAUCUUGAUGUAAGAAAGUUAUUCUUGUUAUAAGAAAUUUAAUCUUGGUUUUAAGAAUGCCAAUCUUGAAAAUGAGAAAAUGUUUCUAGGCAAUUAGAAUUGUGCACUUGUAGUAAGAAAGGUAUUCUUGUUGUAAGAAUAGCAGUCUUGGAAAUAAGAAAUGUAUCUAGGCAAUAAAGAAUUUUACUCUUGA